UACGUAGGGGUCGAGCGUUGUCCGGAGUUACUGGGCGUAAAGCGUGUGCAGGCGGCGCAUCGCGCCCGGCGUGAAAGCCCCCGGCUCAACCGGGGAGGGUCGUCGGGGACGGGUGCGCUUGAGGGUAUCAGGGGCAGGUAGAAUUCCCGGUGUAGUGGUGAAAUGCGUAGAGAUCGGGAGGAAUACCUAUGGCGAAAGCAGGUUUCUGGACCAUCACUGACGCUGAUCUGCGAAAGCUAGGGGAGCAAACAGG
rnacentral:rRNA from 1 species